AUGGAGGCCGCCGGGAUCGGAUGGCUAGCACAGUCCAUCCUGUCGAGCCCACUGAUCGGCAAGCCCCCUGAUCCCUGGGUCCGUGAGGCCGGCCUCGCGGAAGAAAUCGAAGGGCUCACGUCUGCAAUCAAGGGAGUCCGCGUGGUCGUCUCUGCUGUUGACGGCAGGGAGCUCGGCAACGAGCCACUCGCUGAAUCUCUUGCUGAUCUCAAGGAGGUUCUCUAUGAUGCGGCCAACGUGGUCGACGACCUCGACUACCACAGGCUAAAACAGGCUGCUUCGACAUUGAUGGUCGAUGCUGAUAUACUGCCAACAAGUAGCAGUCGUGGGAAGAGGCAACGCUCCAAGGCAUGGGACCAUUUUGUGGUUAUAAGAGAUGGUAAUGGAAACCCUGAGAAGGCAAAAUGUAAGUAUUGUCAAAGCGUAGUUCAGUGUAAGACUAUAAACGGGACAGGAGUUUUGAGCAGGCAUAUCAAGAGUGCUGGUUGUAGGGAAAUGGCAAGUCACCAACAGCAAGAACCUUCCUCAAGCAUAGGCAAUGGUACUAGAACAAUUGGUAAUCCAUCCAGAAGUAAAAGGAUGAGAAUUGAUCAUGACUCAACACAAGUCACCACAGAUAACACAAACCCUUGGAACAAGGAAGAAAUUUCCAGCAGGUUACAAGAGAUAAUUAAUCAGUUGCAAGGCAUCCAAGGGGGUUUGAGAGGGAUUCUCGAGAUACUUGGCUUAGACUCUGCUGCAACUUUAAGUAAAUCUCGGAGUACAACACAUGAUCCAUGCCGCAGAACAUCAAAUCUUGUUCAAAGAAAAAUAUAUGGGAGAGCGGCAGAGAAGAAAUUCAUCAUCAAUUUGAUAAGAGAACACAAAUCAGCUGCUGGUGUCACUGUUGUGCCUAUUGUAGGCAUUGGAGGAGUUGGGAAGACAGCUCUCGCUCAAGUUGUGUACAAUGAUCCAGCAGUGGGAAAUCAAUUUGAUCUCAGGAUAUGGAUUUGGGUAUCUAAUAUGUUUGAUGAAGUGAGACUCACAAGGGAGAUGCUAAAUUUUGUGUCUCGGGAAAUACAUCAAGGGCUUUGCAGCUUUGCCAAGCUUCAGGAGGUCUUGAAGAGUAAUAUCAAGUCAAAGAGGGUCCUACUGGUUUUAGAUGAUGUCUGGGAUGAUAGAAAUGAUAGCCGAUGGGACCAGCUAUUGGCUCCUUUUACAUCUGAUGGUGCAAACAACAAUUUGAUACUCAUGACAACUAGAAAACCAUCUUUUGCAAAAAGAAGAGGAACAACUGAACCAAUUAAAUUAAGCGCAUUGGGAAAAGAUGAUUUCUAUUUACUGUUUAAAGUAUGUGCAUUUGGUGAUGAGAACUACAAAGAGGAAGAAAGUCUACGUGACAUCGGACAACAAAUAGUUCAAAAGUUAAAAGGAAACCCAUUAGCGGCACAAACUGCCGGAUCAAUAUUAAGAGAGCAUCUUAGCAUUGAACAUUGGACUAGAAAUCUGAGGAAUGAAUAUUGGAAAUCCCUGCAGCUCACUAGCGGCAUCAUGCCUGCUUUGAAGCUUUGCUACGACGGGAUGCCCUUCCAUUUACAACAAUGCUUCUCCUAUUGUUCUAUAUUCCCAUACAAUUAUCAGUUUCCCGCUGAGGAGUUAAUUCAUAUGUGGAUUUCACAGGGAUUUGUGAAGCGUGAUAGUUCAAGUGAGUGUUUGGAGGAGAUAGGGAAGUCCUAUCUAACUGACUUGGUAAACCUGGGUUUCUUUGAACAGGUUGAAGAAAUUGAACAAGUCAUCUGUUUGGGUACACAAACUUCAUAUGCAAUUAGUGGUCUUAUGCAUGAUUUGGCCAGGGUUGUUUCCAGAGCAGAGUGUUCAACAAUAGAUGAUAAUUCAUUUAGAGAACUGUGGACAAGGCUGGAUACUUCCAUGUCUGGAAAGGUUUCCGUUUCUUACAAGGUUGAAGUUGAGCAAUAUGGAGGAAAGAGUUUGAGCAUAGAAAAUUGCGCAAAACUCUUCUCUUCAGAUAUUCUGUCACCGCACACACAUGAAGACGUGAUAGCUGCAGAAUAUAAUGCCUUGCCAUAUCUUGAAAGUCUCAGUAUUGUUUCAUGUGGAAUAACGGGGAAAUGGUUGUCUCUGAUGCUUCGACAUGCGCCUGCCAUGAAGGAAUUGGUGAUACAUGACUGUCCAAAGUUGACAGAGUUACGGAUUGAAGGGGGAGGAAACAGUCAGUCGAAUCUUAUCCUAGCCUCGGAGGCCUCAUCAUCAGGAUAUCAAAAUGAUCUGUCGGCAAGCUCGGCUCAAGAUGGAUUGUGGUGCGUUCCAUUAAACAUCACCUCCUCUCUUAAAAAGAUAACUAUUCGUGAAUGCCCUAGUCUAACAUUCGAUGGGAGCAGAGAAGGCUUUGUUGGAUUUACCUCCCUUGAGUAUCUACAAAUUUGGGAAUGCCCCGAGCUGUUCUCAUCUUUGGUGCACGAAAGAUUGCUCCUCCCGCAAUCACUUAGUGAAAUCGCACUAUUUAUGUAUUCCCAGGAAACCCUGCAGCCCUGCUUUCCGAAUAACCAUACUUGCCUCAAAGAUUUAGAAGUACGUCAUAGCCAAAGGUUGAAGUCUCUAACACUGCACUCCUGCAAAUCGCUCGCUGCAUUACACGGCAUGGAAUCACUUGGAACCCUCCGGUCUUUGGCAUUAUAUGAGAACUCAACUUUGGAAUUUCUACAGCUGGAAUCCUUCACGCUGUUGGAAGAUUUGAGAAUUUACUACUGUACUUCGCUCCUCACACUAGAAGGCUUGCGAUCCACCAUGAACCUCAGGUGUUUGAGAGUAGUCAGAUCCCCUAUCGAGGCACUUACAAGUGCCGGAGAGAGUUACGAGCUAAUAGAUGGAAUUUUCCCUAGACUGGAAAGUCUUACUAUCGAUGAUUCAUCUCGCCUUAUGACAUCAUUCUACAAGGGCCUCACCUGCCUCCAACAACUAGAACUAUAUAGUUUGGAAGAGGAGAGACUAACAGAUGAGCAAGAGAGAGCGUUUCUGCUCCAUAGGUCCCUGCAAAAUCUCCAAUUUAUGCAUUGUGAUGACCUCCUGAAUCUUCCGGCAGGGCUGCACGGCCUACCAUCCCUCAAAACAUUGAUGAUCUACAAUUGUAAUCACAUUUCACGACCGCCGAAGGAGGGCCUCCCACUUUCGCUGGAGAAACUGCUUUUAUGUUAUUGUGAUGAUCUCGUAGAUCUUCCGGCGGGGCUGCACAGCCUUCCAUCCCUCAAGACAUUGAAGAUCGAAUGUUGUCAUCGCAUAUCACAGCUGCCGAAGGAGGGUCUCCCACCCUCGCUGGAAGAGCUAGAGAUCAACUAUUGCAGCAAAAAGCUGUCAAAACAAUGCAGAUCGCUAGCAACAAGCAAGCUAAAGGUUAUUGAUUAUGGGGCCUCGCAAAUUGUCAUUCUAAACUUGUUGGCAUCUCGGAUCAACCAAGAGCACGCACUCAACUCAGCAGCGAAAAUGCUCUGCAUCUACCAUAAUGCAUCUGGGAGAUCAGAUCUCCAGCUCCAAUUUGAUGGACUAGAUGUCUCUUAUCUGCAUUCGUUGGGGAAGGCAAAGGGGGAUGGCAUGUGGUUAUCUUUUCAUACAAAAAGCUCCCUGAAACUUCUGGAAUUUGUAGGGUUUGAUCAUCAGCCUUUAAGAUCCCAAAAUACAUCGCCAUGGUCACGCUUCGUGAUGGCCCCAAAAUCCUUGAGAACACGUGUGAGUGGAACUACAAGGUGCAAGACUCGCAUGGUGGUGUGGGUGUAUAACUGUGGUAUCGCCGAGGCACCAGCCGGCUGCCAAGAAACGGUCGUGGUUCGAGCCAUAUGUGCGGCCGGGGUUCAUGGACCACAUGUCCUUGCCUACACACCUCGCACCGGCAAGCAUGAGGACGCGCAGCCGCUCGCACUCAACGUCGCCGAGCGCAUCCUCCGUGGUUUCGCCGACCACUCGUGGCCCAUGCACGCGCCACACCUCCGCAGCUUACUCCGCUUCAAGGCGCCCUGUGUCACCGCGUGCUCGCAAACACGCUCGAGUAUGUGGACAAAGACGAGGGGAGCGGUGCUCCUCGAUAUGGUUCCUGUUGAUUAUUUGUACACCUUAUGCAGAUUAUUUGUACACGGUGUUUCACUAGGCUGGUCCUUCAGAUUUCCAGUUCCCAACUUGGCAGGUUCACCUGUUGACCAACUCAAAGUGGAUUAUUUGUUCAUACACUCCAAUUCCAUUGUACCCCCACCCCAACAACUGCCGACUACAUACAUCUUGUGCAGGCAUUUAAGGAAGUUAGUUACAGUACACACUUGCGGUGCUGAUCCAGUUCAUGAAUGUGCAGAUGAGAGACCCGAAGGUCCAGCUUUUACUGAAAGCUUUAAAAGGCCCGGGCCCGGCCUGGCCCGGGCGGGCGUCGGGCCUAAAAAUCAGGCCCAAGCCUGGCCCGUCAGUGUAGAAAGCCCACCGGGCCUCUUUGUUAAUGCGCUAAUAUGGUGGGCCCGGGCCCGGCUCAUGGACAAGGUCGGGCCGACCGGGCCGGGCUGCCCAUGGCCAGGUCAGGGGCUGCACUCCAUGACAAUUUGCCAUCACUUUCAACUCCACGGCAAUCUUCUCCACGACAUGACCGGCUUCCGCCAUUGCAACACGAAGGACACAGCACACCAGUGGUGUAACGUCAUUUAUAAACUGAAGUCAGAGAGCAUGCUUACUCCCAGUCCUAGGGUCCGUCCAACGAUAGCUCGAGUGAAGAUGGCUCUCGCUCUCGCUCUCGCUCCCGCUCCACCCUCCUCCUCCCCCUCGCCGGAGGGGAACCAGACACCCACCAAAACCUCUCCGGCCAUCCCAUCGCCGGAAACAACCCUAGCCAUCAAUCCUCUCGACGCACUCCUCCCCACAGUAGCUCCUCCACCAUCGCCUUUUUUCGACCCGCCGUACGUGAAAGCUGGCCAGGUUGCACUCCGCUGCUUCCUGGGUUGUGGCAAUGCCAUGGGCUUGGAGUUCGAGGAUGAUGCCUCCUACUUCCUCCGCCUCUCCAUCACCACCCCCGCCAUCCACCUCGCCUCGCCGCUCUACAUCAUCUUCCACUACUCCAACUGCCGCCUUGACGCCAUUACCGUUGCCGCCCUGCUCCAGGCGGUUCUUGGCGGUGCUGCUGCUGACUUCUUCGUUGUCCAAUGCUCUCCCCUCGUUUAUCGCUUCCAUGUGGCCUCUGCACGUAUAGCAGAGAUCAUCCUCGCACAAUCCAUACUUCGCACCCGCGCUUACUCUUUCUCCUUCUUGAGAACCCUGCCCCCGCUCCCACCUUCUCCUCCCCACAAUGCCACAUGCAUGCCGUUGGCUCAACUGCUCCAAAUUCCAGAGGAUCUCGGUCUUCACUUUGAGCACGUAACCUGGACAUAA
rnacentral:rRNA from 1 species